rnacentral:rRNA from 1 species
AUCGAACGCUGGCGGCGUGGCUAAAACAUGCAAGUCGAACGCGAAAGUUCCCUUCGGGGAGCGAGUAGAGUGGCGAAAGGGCGAGUAAUGCAUGGGUAACGUACCCUGAACACUGGGAUAGCUGUGGGAAACCGCAGGUAAGACCAGAAAGACCACAGUGUCAUAUGACACAGCGGUCAAAGGACGGGGAUCCCGACUUCGGUCGGGACCUGUCGGUUUGGGAGCGGCCCAUGUCUCAUCAGCUAGUUGGUGUGGUAACGGCGCACCAAGGCUACGACGAGUACCGGGGCUGAGAGGUCGACCCGGCGCACUGGGACUGAGACACUGCCCAGACUCCUACGGGAGGCUGCAGUAACGAAUAUUCCGCAAUGGGCGAAAGCCUGACGGAGCGACGUCGCGUGUGGGAGUAAGCUCUUCGGAGUGUAAACCACUGUCAGGGAUUACCAAGCAAAGGUGGCUAAUACCUGCCUGCGCUGAGGAGUCCCAAAGGAAGUCACGGCUAACUUCGUGCCAGCAGCCGCGGUAAUACGAAGGUGGCAAGCGUUGUUCGGAAUCACUGGGCUUAAAGAGUAUGUAGGCGGCCAAUCAAGCGUCUUGUGAAAUCCCUCGGCUCAACCGAGGAAUUGCUUGGCGAACUGACUGGCUUGAGGCAGGUAGGGGCGUGUGGAACUCUUGGUGGAGCGGUGAAAUGCGUAGAUAUCAAGAGGAACGCCAGAGGCGAAAGCGAUGCGCUGGGCCUGUCCUGACGCUGAGAUACGAAAGCCAGGGGAGCGAACGGGAUUAGAUACCCCGGUAGUCCUGGCCCUAAACGAUGUCCACUAGGUUGGAGCUUCUCUGACGGACUUCCGGCCGGGGCAAAAGUGUUAAGUGGACCGCCUGGGGAGACGGUCGCAAGGCU